GCGGAAGUGGCGAAAUUGGUAGACGCGCACGUUUGAGGGGCGUGUGGAGAGAUCUGUACGGGUUCAAGUCCCGUCUUCCGCA
rnacentral:tRNA from 2 species